UGAAGGCUAGGCACCAUGUGAACAUGCAUCCAAUAUCACUCUAUCAGGUAAAAAGUGUCUCGUCGUAUGUGAAAUUUCAAGAAAUUAGAAGUAGUACAAGCUAGAAGACAACGCAAGAUGCAACCUACGUCACGCUCCCAAGUUAAAUGUGUCUUAUGGGUAAGUGAUUGUUGCAGGUAUAAGUUGUAAGCUACGUAGAUGCAAUUCAACAAAAUCAGAAGCAAUACAAAUUAGACAUCAUACGGAACACGCAACCACAUAUAACAGUUUCAAGUUAGAGCAAGCACCUGUGAUGGUGGAGUAGGGGAGAUGUUCUCAUCAUCUACAUAGCGACGUUGACUGUCUAGCCUUGUGUUGUCUUGCGAAUCUUGUUGGGAGGAUGGCUGAGUAGAAUCUGUAUAGACCCUCUGUUUGAGUUGCUCCGAAGGACCACCAUCAUCCACAUCCGUACUAAUUUCCUUCAGCUGUAUUGAUUUUGCAUUGUGAAGUCAAGCUGAUAAGAAAAAGGAAUAAAAUUCGCUCUUCAGAAGUCAUUCAUGAAUGAUAUUGACAAACACUACUCGGAUGAAAGGCAAACACAUGAUACGAGGAUGGAAUAUGUACGAAAAACGGGACUGCGUGACAUAUUCACACCUAUGAUGUGUUAACUAAGCCGAAGGCAUUUCAACAAAUUAGAAGCACUGCAAGCUAGACACCAUAUGAAAGAUGCAACUAGUAUCACUCUGCUAAGUUCAAACUGUCUGGUGUUUCAACAAAUUAGAAGCAGUGCAUGCUAAAAAUCAUAUGCAAGACACAACCAAUAUCAAAGUGGCGACUUAAAGGUGCCUUAUUAUAAGUGACUGAUGCGGGAUAUGCAAGAACAGUAGUCUGAUGUAAGAACAUGGUGUGAUUAGAUAUAAUAUGUUCUAUAAACAGGAACACGUGUCAUGUUCAUCGGCAUUAUGUGUAAACUAAGCAGAUGGAAUUCCACAAAGUUAGAAGCAAUACAAGCUAGACAGUAUACGCAAUAUGCAACCACAUGUAAUAGUGCCAAGUUAGAGCAAACACCUGUGAUGGUGGAGUAGGGGAGAUGUGCUCAUCAUCUACUCAACUACGUUGAGUGUCUAGACUUGCGUUGUCUUGUGAAUCUUGUUGGGAGGAUGGUGGUGUAGAAUCUGUAGAGACCCUCUGUUUCAGUUGCUUGGAAGGACCAGCAUCAUCCAAUGCCAUACCAAUUUCCUUCCGCUUUAUUCAUUUUGCAUUGUGAGGUCAAAACGACAAGAAAAAGGAAUAGAAUUCGCUCAUCAGAACUCACUCAUGCAUGAUACUGAUGAACACUACUAUGAUGAAAGGCAAAGUCAUGAUACGAGGAUGUAAUAUGUACAAAAAACUAGAUGGCUUGACAUAUUCACACCUAUGAUGUGGUAACUAAGCAUAAGACAGUUCAACAAAUUAGAAGCACUACAAGCUAGACACCAUAUGGAAGGUGCAAUCAAUAUCACUCUACCAAGUUAAAAUUGUCUCGUCAUAGGUGGCGUUCAUCAAACUAGAAGCACUACAUGCUAGAAAUCAUAUUCAAGAUGCGAACCAAUAUCACACUGCCAACUUAAAGGUGUCCCAUCAUAAGUGACUGAUGCAGGAUACACAAGAAGAGUAGUUUCAUGUAAGAACAUGGUGUGAUAGACAGAUAUAGUAUGUACCAAAAAAAGGAAGGCGUGUCAUAUUCACAUGUAUCAUGUGUAAGCUAAGCAUAUGUAGUUUACACUAAUUACAAGCAAUACAAGCUAGACACCAUAUGCAACAUGCAACCAGAUAUCACACUGCCAAGUUAGUGCAAGCACCUUGGAUGGUGGAGUAGGGGAGCGGAGACUUGGAACUGGUAAUGCACUAGUAGUACGAGGAGAAUCCGUACAAAUGCUCCGUCUAUGUUGCAGCAGAGAACCACCAUCAUCGCCUUCCUUACUCUUUUCCUUCCUCUUUUUUGAUUUUGCCUUGUCAAGUCAAACCCACAAGAAAAAAAUCUCUUCAGAACUCAUUGAUGCAUGAUACUAACGAAUACGACUUUCAUGUAAGGUAGCCGUAUGAUAGGAGCAUGGAAUAUGUAUGAAAAACAGGACGACAUUACAUAUUGACAUGUAUGAUGUAUAAAGUGUAAACUAAGCACAAGGUGUUUGAACUAGUUAGAAGCAAUGCUAGAUAGAAACCAUAUGAAACAUGAAACCAAUAUCACUCUGCCAAAUUAAAAGGGUGGCCUCAUAAAUGCAUUUGACCAAAUUAGAAGCAAUACAUGGCAACAUGCUAGAAAUCAUAUGCAAUAUGCAACGAAUAAAGGUGUCUCAUCGUAAGUGAUUGAUGCAGGAUAUAGAAGAGAGGUAGUUUCAUGUAAGAACAUGGUUAACACAUAGAUGUAGUAUGUACCAAAAAUAGGAAGGCAUGUCAAAUUCACAGGUAUAAUGUGUAAACGAAGAAGAUGCAAUCUACCCUAAUUAGAAGCAUUACAAGCUAGACACCGUAUGCAACAUGCACCCACAUAUCACACUGCGAAGUUAGAGCAAGCACCUGCGGUGUUGGUGUAGGGUAAAUGAUGUCUUUAAAUACAAAGCUACAUUCAAUAUCUUCAUUUAGGCUUGCCGUUUCUUGAGAAUCAUGUGGGGAGGAUGAAACUCCACUCUUUAUAAGAGUAGCGCGUCUCAUACUAACCCACGGGCGUGACUGUGUCGCCAUAAGUGAUAGAUGCAGGAUACAC
rnacentral:lncRNA from 1 species